rnacentral:rRNA from 1 species
CAGUUCAAGUGGCAUCCAACUUUAUUGGGUCUAAAACAUCCGUAGCUUGCUAUUUAAGUCUCUUGUGAAAUCCAACGUCUCAAGCGUUGGGCUGGCAGGAGAUACUGAAUAGCUAGAGAUCGGUAGACGUAAGGAGUACGGCGAAGGUAGUGGUAAAAUACGUUAAUCUUCGUUGGACUAACAAUUUAGGCGAAGGCACCUUACGAGGACGAAUCUGACAGUGAGGGAUGAAGGCCAGGGGCGCAAAACGGAUUAGAUACCCGUGUAGUCCUGGCUAGUAAACACUGCUCACUAAACAUCGGGCCCUCUUCGGGAGGAUUCGGUGCUGAAGCGAAGGCGAAGAGUGAGCUACCUGGGAAGUAUANUCGCAGGUUGAAACUUAA